rnacentral:rRNA from 1 species
CCUACGGGUGGCAGCAGUGAGGAAUAUUGGACAAUGGUCGGAAGACUGAUCCAGCCAUGCCGCGUGCAGGAUGACGGCCUUAUGGGUUGUAAACUGCUUUUGUAAGGGAAGAAUAAGGGCUACGCGUAGUUUGAUGACGGUACCUUACGAAUAAGCAUCGGCUAACUCCGUGCCAGCAGCCGCGGUAAUACGGAGGAUGCGAGCGUUAUCCGGAAUCAUUGGGUUUAAAGGGUCUGUAGGCGGGCUUGUAAGUCAGAGGUGAAAGCGCUCAGCUCAACUGAGCAACUGCCUUUGAAACUGUUGGUCUUGAAUGGUUGUGAAGUAGUUGGAAUGUGUAGUGUAGCGGUGAAAUGCUUAGAUAUUACACAGAACACCGAUAGCGAAGGCAUAUUACUAACAAUUGAUUGACGCUGAUGGACGAAAGCGUGGGGAGCGAACAGGAUUAGAUACCCGAGUAGUC